rnacentral:rRNA from 1 species
UUGCAUAUCAAUAAGCGGAGGAAAAGAAAAUAACCAUGAUUCCCCUAGUAACGGCGAGUGAAGAGGGAAAAGCUCAAAGUUGGAACCUGGCUGCCCUAGGCAGUCCGGAUUGUAAACUAAAGAGCGUGAUUCCAGGCAAGCCGGUUGAUCAAGUCCUUUGGAAUGAGGCGCCACUGAGGGUGAGAGCCCCGUAAGUCGACUGAGCAUUUGUCUUUUGUGUUUCGCGUUCAAAGAGUCAGGUUGUUUGGGAAUGCAGCCUAAAGCUGGUGGUAAAUCCCACCUAAAGCUAAAUACAGGCGAGAGACCGAUAGCGAACAAGUACCGUGAGGGAAAGAUGAAAAGAACUUUGAAAAGAGAGUUAAACAGUAUGUGAAAUUGCCAAGAGGGAAGCAUUUGGAGUUAGAUUGACUAGGAGUUAAUCAGCUUGGUCUUUGGACUGGGUGUACUUGACUUCUAUUGGUCUGCCAAUAGCAGUUAGUCCUAGUGGAAAAAACCAGAGGGAAGGUAGUCCUUCGGGAUGUUUAUAGACCUUUGGAAAAUACACUGGGAUUGACUGAGGAAUGCAGUAGAUGCCACUAAGGCUUCGUCUAGUGGGUGCUAGGCAAAGGUACUUGGUAUUUUCAGCUUGCUGAUGUGCUAGGUUACUCGAGUCUAGUCGCCUACUAGAACUGUAAUCUACUUUUGGUUAUUGGCUUAAUGACUCUA